CCUACGGGUGGCAGCAGUGAGGGAUAUUGGUCAAUGGACGAGAGUCUGAACCAGCCACGUAGCGUGAAGGAUGACUGCCCUAUGGGUUGUAAACUUCUUUUAUAUGGGAGUAAAAUGUUCCACGAGUGGGAUUUUGUGUGUACCAUAUGAAUAAGGAUCGGCUAACUCCGUGCCAGCAGCCGCGGUAAUACGGAGGAUCCGAGCGUUAUCCGGAUUUAUUGGGUUUAAAGGGAGCGUAGGUGGAUUGGUAAGUCAGUUGUGAAAGUUUGCGGCUCAACCGUAAAAUUGCAGUUGAAACUGGCAGUCUUGAGUACAGUAGAGGUGGGCGGAAUUCGUGGUGUAGCGGUGAAAUGCGUAGAUAUCACGAAGAACUCCGAUUGCGAAGGCAGUUCACUGGACUGCAACUGACACUGAGGCUCGAAAGUGUGGGUAUCAAACAGGAUUAGAUACCCGAGUAAUC
rnacentral:rRNA from 1 species